UUCUUGGUGUAUUCUCCUUAGCUAGAACAACCAUCUUCUUGGUGCAGAGUGACCCUACGUUGAUGGUUUACACAAAAAUUGGAUGGAAGGCUAGAAGAAUUCAAACCAACCGGUUGACAAGAAUGAACUUCUGAAUAUAAAACAGUGAUCCAGGACAUAUUCUUGGGUCAUAUAAAUUUGGAGAGUACCGGAACAAAUUUUAAAGCAGUACAUCAUCAUUGAUAAAACACCGUGAACAAAAUGAAGCUGAUACGGAAAACCUCCUGACUGUGCGAACUGGGGCAUCGGGGCAAGGCUAAAGGGUUGGGAGUGGCGUCCCUGAGCACCAACAAUCCCUUCCUUGUCCUGUGACAGUGCACAAAAUAGUGAUUUAGUUAAAUUUCACUACUUGAGAUAGUCUAGCCUGCCAACUUAACCAAUGCAGUAGCUGUCUUUACAAUGCCAAGUGAAGAAAAGGAAGUUUGCAAUACAGGAUUAUUUUCUCGAUUCUGGUCACAACAGUAAUAGACAUGACAAGAAUAUAUUCACUAUAAAAGAAUUAUAUUCUGGUCAUAAGAAUUAUUUUAUGGAUGUGUGAUUUGAAACAGAAGAUAGGUACCUUCACUACAACAACUACAACAGUGAAAAGCAUAAUGGACGGAUGUGUGAUUUGAAACAGAUCAUAGGAACCUUCACUACAAGAAUGAAAUGCAUAAAGGGUGUGAACUCAUCAUUUUAUUGGGGAACAAAAUAAAGGAAUUCUUGCAUAUAUUCGACUCUAUCACAGGGAGCAGUACAGGCACAAGAUAUCACGUGAGAUAUCCAUGUGUCACAACAAAGCAUGGACUAUAUUCCUUUUCGUAAUUUGUUACUGAAUCAGAUACCCACUAUACAACACAAUGAUAGAAUUUGUAUACAACUCAUCUACUACAUGAGUCUUCUGAAGUUCAAAAGGAGGAACUACGUUAAUUGUUCUAAUUUUGCUCACCAAAAGGGAUUUGUUUAAUUUUAUUUGACACAGAAGAAAGGGGUGAACCCUUGGAUACAACUUUAGGGGCAUCCCCACAAAACAAAAACCUACAGAUAUUGAUAAAACGUCCCAGCAUGCUCGUCCUAGUCUGAAGAAAUAUAUAAAGACUUGUUUUAUCUAAUUCAAUCAUAAAAAACACAUAGGUUCAGGAAUAGAGACUUGUAUGGAGCUCCAUAAGCGACAAAGGCGAUGUCGGCUACAGUUUUUCUUACGGCAUGUGCAUCCCAACAGAGAAGCUUUAGGAACUAAUUAUCUCACUCCUUGUUCAGGAUAUGUAAUGAACAUAUUAUUAUACAAAUGAAUUGCCAACAUAGUCAACAAAACAGACAAUCAAAUUGUAAAUGUCGUCUCACAUGCUAAUAAUUCUACACACAUGGAAAAGAUAUCAUAACCUUAUUAAGUGAUCCUAAUUCUAAGCGGAGUUGCCUAGCAAAAAUAGCAGUGCAUGAUCAAGGUGGACAACAAAUAACAGUAAUAUAAUACUCCUUCAAGGUACAUAAAAAAAGAAAUCCUAGUGGGUACAAGUAUUUUGAAUAAUGAAAAAAAUAAGAUCUAACCAUUUACGUACAAUGCACGUUUCUAAAACUCAAAGUAUAUAUGAAUAUAUCUAAAUAAAAGUUUUGCUAAGGUCAUAAUUUUCCAUACCCUUUGUGCCGCAAUUUUUAAUUUUUUGGGACCUUCCUAUCUCCACUUCCAUCAUCGACAAUAUACAGUACAAUUUAAUUGAAAUUCAAUAGGCUUCUAUCAGAUGACAUGAGUGAAGAUCAAUGCAGGUUUAUGGCAUUGAGCAUCAUGUACUAACCCUUCGAAAUGGUGGUUAUUCAUUUGGACCAAUUACAUCUCAAGCUGCAGGGACAACAAUAUCUCCAUGGCCUUGGAGCCCACCAUCUCGCCACGUUCCU
rnacentral:lncRNA from 1 species